rnacentral:rRNA from 1 species
CCUACGGGCGGCAGCAGUGAGGAAUAUUGGUCAAUGGACGAGAGUCUGAACCAGCCAAGUAGCGUGAAGGAUGACUGCCCUAUGGGCUUUAAACUUCUUUUAUAAAGGAAUAAAACGAGGCACGUGUGCCUUUUUGCAUUUACUUUAUGAAUAAGGAUCGGCUAACCUCGUGCCAGCAGCCGCGGUAAUACGGAGGAUCCGAGCGUUAUCCGGAUUUGUUGGGUUUAAAGGGAGCGUAGAUGGGUUGUUAAGUCAGUUGUGAAAGUUUGCGGCUCAACCGUAAAAUUGCAAUUGAUACUGGCAGUCUUGAGUACAGUAGAGGUAGGCGGAAUUCGUGGUGUAGCGGUGAAAUGCUUAGAUAUCACGAAGAACCCCGAUUGCGAAGGCAGCUUACUAACCUGUGACUGACAUUGAUGCUCGAAAGUGUGGGUAUCAAACAGGAUUAGAUACCCCUGUAGUC